rnacentral:rRNA from 1 species
UGGGGAAUAUUGGACAAUGGGGGCAAGCCCUGAUCCCAGCCAUGCCGCGUGAGUGAUGAAGGCCUUCGGGUUGUAAAGCAUCUUUUGGUCGGGGAGCGAUGAUGACGGUACCCGCAGAAUAAGCCCCGGCUAACUUCGUGCCAGCAGCCGCGGUAAGACGAAGGGGGCUAGCGUUGUUCGGAAUUACUGGGCGUAAAGCGCGUGUAGGCGGUUAUCCAAGUCGGGUGUGAAAGCCUUGAGCUCAACUCAAGAAAUGCACUCGAUACUGGGUGACUUGAGGACCGGAGAGGAUAGUGGAAUUCCCAGUGUAGUGGUGAAAUACGUAGAGAUUGGGAAGAACACCAGUGGCGAAGGCGGCUAUCUUGGACGGUUUCUGACGCUAAGACGCGAAAGCGUGGGGAGCAAAACA